CCAAGAGGCCAAGCAAGGAAGCCUCUGCAACCAGGCCAUCAUGCUCAUCAGCGACGGCGCCGUGGAGGACUACGAGCCGGUGUUUGAGAAGUAUAACUGGCCAGACUGUAAGGUCCGAGUUUUCACUUACCUCAUUGGGAGAGAAGUGUCUUUUGCUGACCGCAUGAAGUGGAUUGCAUGCAACAACAAAGGUGAGUGCCGGGCCAGCAGGUACCUUCCCACCUGCACCUGAGCACAGGAGACAGGGUUACCCAGCCCUGGAAGUGCUGAGCACGGGCUUCCCCAUGGGCCCCUAAGAGGAGCAGUGCUAUGUCAAGAACAGCAGCCUCAGUCCCUCCUUCAUAUUUGGAAAAAGCAAGGUGAGACAAUGUCAGCUCUGUCUCCAUCCUGCCCCCAUUCUUUCU
rnacentral:lncRNA from 10 species